rnacentral:rRNA from 1 species
CCUACGGGGCGCUGCAGUGAGGAAUAUUGGUCAAUGGCCGCAGGGCUGAACCAGCCAAGUCGCGUGAGGGAUGACGGUCCUAUGGAUUGUAAACCUCUUUUGUCAGGGAGCAAAGGGCGCCACGUGUGGCGCUUUGCGAGUACCUGAAGAAAAAGCAUCGGCUAACUCCGUGCCAGCAGCCGCGGUAAUACGGAGGAUGCGAGCGUUAUCCGGAUUUAUUGGGUUUAAAGGGUGCGCAGGCGGAAUGUCAAGUCAGCGGUAAAAUUUCGGGGCUCAACCCCGUCGUGCCGUUGAAACUGGCGUUCUUGAGUGAGCGAGAAGUAUGCGGAAUGCGUGGUGUAGCGGUGAAAUGCAUAGAUAUCACGCAGAACUCCGAUUGCGAAGGCAGCAUACCGGCGCUCAACUGACGCUCAUGCACGAAAGCGUGGGUAUCGAACAGGAUUAGAUACCCUGGUAGUC